UACGUAGGGUGCAAGCGUUGUCCGGAAUUAUUGGGCGUAAAGAGCGUGUAGGCGGCCCGACCAGUCCGCUGUGAAAGUCCAGGGCUCAACCCUGGAAUGCCGGUGGAUACUGCCGGGCUAGAGUCCGGAAUGGGCGAGUGGAAUUCCUGGUGUAGCGGUGAAAUGCGCAGAUAUCAGGAGGAACACCAAUGGCGAAGGCAGCUCGCUGGGACGUGACUGACGCUGAGACGCGAAAGCCAGGGGAGCGAACGGG
rnacentral:rRNA from 1 species